rnacentral:rRNA from 1 species
UACAGAGGUCUCAAGCGUUGUUCGGAUUCAUUGGGCGUAAAGGGUGCGUAGGCGGCGGGGUAAGUCAGGUGUGAAAUCUCGGGGCUCAACCCCGAAACUGCACUUGAUACUGCUUCGCUUGAGUACUGGAGAGGAGACUGGAAUUUACGGUGUAGCAGUGAAAUGCGUAGAUAUCGUAAGGAAGACCAGUGGCGAAGGCGAGUCUCUGGACAGUUACUGACGCUGAGGCACGAAGGCCAGGGGAGCAAACGGG